rnacentral:rRNA from 1 species
UAUGUGAUCGUCUCUCGCAUAUCAAUAAGCGGAGGAAAAGAAACUAACAAGGAUUCCCCUAGUAACGGCGAGUGAAGCGGGAAGAGCUCAAAUUUGAAAUCUUAAAGGGUUUCCCUUUACGAAUUGUAGUUUAAAGAAGUGUUUUCUGUUGAGGUUUUGGUAAAAGUUCUUUGGAAUAGGACAUCAUAGAGGGUGAGAAUCCCGUAUUUGACCUUUACUUUCAACUUUGUGAUACACUUUCAAAGAGUCGGAUUGUUUGGGAAUGCAGUCCAAAAUGGGUGGUAAAUUUCAUCUAAAGCUAAAUAUUGGCGAGAGACCGAUAGCGAACAAGUACCGUGAGGGAAAGAUGAAAAGAACUUUGAAAAGAGAGUUAAACAGUACGUGAAAUUGUCAAAAGGGAAGCGUUUGACACCAGUGUUGUUUUUCUGAAAAUCAAUUAAAGAACUGUUUAUGCUAAGUUGUUUAGACUUUAUCAGCUAACUGUUUAGUUUUGAGCUUUUCUUUAAUGCACUUUUCAGUUAACAAGUCAACAUCAAUUUCUUUUGCUGUAAAAAAGCUGAGGAAGGUGGCUUGAGAUUCGUCUUAAGUGUUUAUAGCCUCUUGCCUAUGCAGUCGGAGAGAUUGAGGUCUGCAGCGUAGAUCCUUCGGGGCUAAAUGCAUUUGUGCUAAGUUAUAACAUUUUAUAGACAACUUGUUGACUAUGAUUUGUCUUGUAGCUUACUCGCUUAUGUUAUUUUACCUACGCUUAGGAUGUUGAAUCUGUGCGAGACUAC